UACAGAGGUCUCAAGCGUUGUUCGGAUUCAUUGGGCGUAAAGGGUGCGUAGGCGGCGCGGUAAGUCGGGUGUGAAAUCUCGGAGCUUAACUCCGAAACUGCAUUCGAUACUGCCGUGCUUGAGGACUGGAGAGGAGACUGGAAUUUACGGUGUAGCGGUGAAAUGCGUAGAUAUCGUAAGGAAGACCAGUGGCGAAGGCGGGUCUCGUGGCCCGGUACUGACGCUGAGGUGCGAAAGCGUGGGAGCAAACAGG
rnacentral:rRNA from 1 species